AGGGAAGCGAAAUAGAGAUAUGGAGCGAAACCCAAAAAGCACCCCCAGUUCGGAUUGAAGGCUGAAAUUCGCCUUCAUGAAGCCGGAAUUGCUAGUAAUGGCAGGUCAGCAUACUGCCGUGAAUACGUUCCCGGGCCUUGUACACACCGCCCGUCACACCAUGAGAGUUGGGGAUACCCAAAGCCCGUGAGCCAACUUUAAAAGAGGCAGCGGUCUAAGGUAGAAUCAAUGAUUGGGGUGAAGUCGUAACAAGGUACC
rnacentral:rRNA from 1 species